CCUACGGGAGGCAGCAGUGGGGGAUAUUGGGCAAUGGGCGCAAGCCUGACCCAGCAACGCCGCGUGAAGGAAGAAGGCACUCGGUUUGUAACCUUCUUUUAUUCGGGACGAUACAACUGACGGUACCGAAUGAAUAAGCCACGGCUAACUACGUGCCAGCCGCCGCGGUAAUACAUAGGUGGCAAGCUUUAUCCGGAUGUACUGGGUGAAACGGGCGUGUAGGCGGGAGAGCAAGUCAGACGUGAAAUUCCAGGGCUCAACCCUGGAACUGCGUUUGAAACUGUGCUUCUUGAGUGAUGGAGAGGCAGGCUGAAGUCCAUGUGUAGCGGUGAAAUGCUUAGAUAUACGGAGGAACACCAGUGGCGAAGGCGGCCUGCUGGACAUUAACGGACGCGGAGGCGCGAAAGCGUGGGGAGCAAACAGGAUGAGAUACCCCGGUAGUC
rnacentral:rRNA from 1 species